AUUGAACGCUGGCGGCAUGCUUUACACAUGCAAGUCGAACGGUAACAGGCCGCAAGGUGCUGACGAGUGGCGAACGGGUGAGUAAUGCAUCGGAACGUGCCCAGUCGUGGGGGAUAACGCAGCGAAAGCUGUGCUAAUACCGCAUACGAUCUAUGGAUGAAAGCGGGGGACCGUAAGGCCUCGCGCGAUUGGAGCGGCCGAUGUCAGAUUAGGUAGUUGGUGGGGUAAAGACUCACCAAGCCAACGAUCUGUAGCUGGUCUGAGAGGACGACCAGCCACACUGGGACUGAGACACGGCCCAGACUCCUACGGGAGGCAGCAGUGGGGAAUUUUGGACAAUGGGCGCAAGCCUGAUCCAGCAAUGCCGCGUGCAGGAAGAAGGCCUUCGGGUUGUAAACUGCUUUUGUACGGAACGAAACGGCGAGCUCUAAUACAGUUUGCUAAUGACGGUACCGUAAGAAUAAGCACCGGCUAACCACGUGCCAGCCGCCGCCGUAACAC
rnacentral:rRNA from 1 species